rnacentral:lncRNA from 1 species
AUUGGGUUGGGAUCAAGUUGGGCUAACAAAAAACAAAAGGUAUAAAACCUUUGGGUUGCGAUGGAGUAGGCCCACAUGGGGUAGCAGUGAGGAGGCCCACCGAGGAGGUGGACGAUUAGGUGCGGCGCAACGCAGGGAGACACCAAAGCCAUUAAUUAAUAGAUUAAUUAGGUAAUAAAUCCAUUAAUUGACUAAUUAACAUAAUUUGAAAGAAAUAAUUUGGGAGUUACCUUGUGGGGAAGAUUUCACGACGAUGAAUGAGAUAGGUUUUGAAUUAUUACCUAUUUUGGGCACUAUUGACUUAGUUGAGGAUUGAUUGCCCACUGCUUGUGCGUAAGAAUCUCGAUAUGCCUCGAGGGUAAUUUUAUCCAUUUAACCCAAAAAUCCACGUGUCGCCUUGUGAUUAUUUUUUGCUCCACACUUAUGUUGUUAUAUUUUACACAUAUAAUAAACAGUAAUAUUUACCUAUUAAUUUAAAAUUAGAAGCCUUAUAUUAAUAUGUAUGAUGUAUUCCCAAAUUUAUAAUCAAAUGAUUGACUUUAAAGGCAUACAUUUAGCAAUACGCAGUUAGGCACCAUUCAUGGUCUGUGAGACUUCGAGAAUAAUUUUAUAUUAUUCUCAAUAAGAGGGUGAAUUAAAAGUGUGCUUUAGAUUCAUUUAAAAGAUAAAAAACUUAUUGUCUUGCCAAUUAGAACCUAAUAGAUUGCACAUUCAAGAGGUUGGGAUGAACACAAAAUGAUGGAAUAAUUAAUUUGAUUAAUUAGAUAACGAUUGAAAUUUAGUGAAAUAGUUUAAAUUAAAUAUAUUGAUGUUUAGAUGUCUUAAAUGGCUCUCAAAAUAGCUUUGAAUUAGUCAAGCUCAUAGGGCAAGCACCAAUUGGGUUUACUUUAAGUUACAAGAUGUCUUAAAGUUCAAAAGUGAUCCAAAUGACCCAAUAACCUAUUUGGGCUGACACGUUUUGAGGGAGAGGGCUUCUGCCUUGACACAAACUUCCAUAUGGUCACGCAUCCACUCAUCGCUCCAUAAGUGAAGCAUGCCAAUGAGAAAUGAAAGCAAAUAGAAUAAAAGAAGAGAACUUUAACGAAAAGUUACUGGUACUGUUCACUUUAACAAAAAAUUACAUUUUUACACUAAAAAGUCAAUACUUGUAUUAUUCACUUUACCCUUUAUUUUGUCUUUAUCAUUAAAACUCAAAGUUUCCAAACCCUUUUCAUUAGUUUUCCUAUAAAAGAAAGGGUUUUUUUAUUUUUUUUUAUUUUUUUAUUUUUUUUAAGAGAGAAGUUCAUGUUCCAUCAGGCUUGAAAUUGAGAGUGAAAGUCCAUCUCCAUCUCCACUCUUUCUAUUAGACAAAGAGUGCACUAGCGUCUACUCAUUCUCUAGGUCCCUUGUUCAUCUCAAAUGCUAUAAGGUGUGGAAACUUUAGAGGGUUUCUACUUUGGAACCUAAAGGAGAAUCCAAACAAGGUGGAUCAAUGCUCAACCUUUCAAGUGGAGAGAAAUUAGUGAAAUAUCUACAAAGGUCUUAAAUCAAGAUCUAGACGUAAAUGUUCCUAUUAACUUCUUAACUUUUGAUUUUGAAAAAUUGAAAAAAAAAAAGUGGAUACAUCAACAAUUUAGAUCUUUAUCUUGAAGAGGAUUAAAUUUCUUUAACAUAAUCUUUGCCACUGUCAACUAUAUCUAGAGGCAUGUUAAUUUAUUGGUAAAUCUUACCAUACAUGUUACUAUAUGUUAAUUUUUGAAAUCCCAAGCAUGAAUCUCGAGAGAUGGAGCGGUUUUACUUCAAAAUAUUCUAGGUUAUCUCUAAUUGGACUUUUGAUUCAAGAUGUUAUAUAUAGUUUCCAUCUUGUACUAUGGUCUAAUAAUAUUCUUCUUCACUUAUAAGUAAAAUGACUUAGGUUUGAUUCUUGUUAAAGGUGAAUGCCAACCAAAUUACUAUGGCUAAGCCAUUAUGAGGCUUAGCCUAUUCCAAGACCUCUUAUGUAUUAGAAAAAAGAUCUUAUAUAUAGCUAUACAUACUAAAAUUCAUGAAAUCUAUUCAUUUCACACUUAUUCACAUCUUGAUUUAUUUUAGCUUGUGCAUGUAUUCUGAAUAAACAAAAAUAAAAUAUUUUUUAAUGAUCCAAUACUUAAAUUGAUAGAAAAGGUCGCAUUCCAAGUUUAGAAAAUUAGGUGUGAUAUAAUAUUUGUGCUAAAACGAGUUUCUAAAAAGAGUGCUCAUUUACUUAUUCUAUUGUAUUUCAACAAUUCUUCACUUAUAAAUAAAUUUCAUGAUCAUAUUACUUUGUCAUUAUCAUAUAACAGUAAAAAUAGUUUUCGCUUUUUCAUUGCAAAAAUUACUUGAUAAUGAAGUAAUAUUUUGGCACAUAACAAGUAGUUUGUAAUAGUUCCAAUUUAAAUAAUUUAUCUCCUAUUCCAUUAAUUUUAACAUACCACGUGAAUACCAAAAUUUGAAACUUUCGUAUUAUUAUCCCGUAACAAUUCAAUAUGUUGCUCAUUUAGUUAUAAAGGUAAAUACGUUUUUUAUUUUUGGAAUGACUUGUACUUUCACCAUAUGCCGGCUAAAUAUAGAGCUCCAUGCAUUAAACUUCAACUCCAUCAAAUACAUCAUUCUUUGAGAAAAUUAAAAGUUACUCAUUCUUUGAAGCAUGGCCGGAAUAAACAUCUUUCCAAUUGUGCUAGUUUUGAUUUUGGUGAGUAACACAUUUCCAAUGUUGGAGGCAACAUCUGAGAAGGCUUGACCUAAACUCCAUCAAAUACAUCAUUCUUUGAGAAAAUUAAAAGUUACUCAUUCUUUGAAGCAUGGCUAGAAUAAACAUCUUUCCAAUUGUGCUACUUUUGUUUUUGGUGAGUAACACAUUUCCGAUGUUGGAGGCAACCGAUGAGAAGGCUUGACCUAAGUGGAAAAAACAUUUCUCCACAAAGCACGCAUAUGAUGCAUACAACUACAUUUUCGACAGACAACUGAUUAGCGACAAUAGUUGUCGGGCCAUUGUGGCGGUGGGAAAAAAUGUCAUGAUAUUUUUUUGAACUUGACUCUUGGGGGGAGCACUGGAAUAAGAAGAUCUAAGGCUUUGACAUGGGGUAAACAACUUUGGAAUCAUUGUGUUCUAACUGCCAUUGCACCUAAUUCUUCUUCCUAUUAAAAGAUGAACUAUAUUGCUCCCAAGCUAAAUAUGUGUGGAAUAUUUCAUGACUUUAAAUAAAAUUUCAAGGCAUUUUCCAUUAAAUUGACUUCACCUUAUUAUUUUAACUUCUAAGGCAUUAAUAUUUUUGUUGGUAGAAUGAACAUUAGUAAAUAUUAAAUCAACUUCCUCGCCAAUUUUGAAAAAAUCGAGCAAUGUUACCCAAUUAGGUCAAUUUAUACCUUUUAACCCUUAUCCAGGUUUUAUAUUCCAUUAUUGCAACAACAAUCCCUACUGAGCGUUUAGGAAGAUUGCCCAUUAUCCAAGCCAUUUGGAAAGUCAACUGGAUAUUAAGUAUCCAAAAAGGUCAGUAUAUAUCAUAAAGUUUAGCAUGGUAUCAUGCGACGCAUCUUAGACAUGUGCUGAAAUACAGUUGUUUGUCUAUUGGACAAGUUAACUGAUUAUUUAUUGCCAAAGAAGUUUAGUAAUCCUAUUAGGAUAAGGAUUUUACCUAUCCUACAACUAUAAAUAAGGCAUGAGGGGGUGAUACAACACACACCUCAUAAUUACAAAUCUUUUUUUCUCUCUAUUGCCGCCGGCCCCUCUCUCUCUCUGUCCUUUAUACAGUUCAAUCAAAUAAGCCUACAACACGCUAUCAGCACGUUCUUACCAAAAUCUAAUGAACUGAAGGAUCGUAGGAGGAGGCUCUCUUAUACCAAAUUCAAAGACUUUCAAUUGUUUUUUUUCCAAUCAAGUUCUUCUAAAAUAAAUUAAGAAAUUCUUGAAGGUUUUUGGACUUUUUAUUUUAAGGUGUUUUCAAUCAUUUUCUUUAUAAUAAUAUUUUCUAUGAUUUCAAUUAUGAAUAUGCGUAACUAAUUCGUUUUGUUAGGGUGAAGCCUCGAGCCUUAGCAUGAAUAUGUGAUUUUUAUUUAAUUGCUUAUAAUUGAUUGCAUGCGCACUUUGAAUUAUUAAUCACCGUUUUAAACUAUCUAAUUGUCUUGAUGGUUGGCCACCAUUAGGAUAUUUAGACAAGUAAUUUGAUACAAUUUCUGUUGGAACAUCACCCUGAAAUUGAAAAGGGCUUCUUGUGAUUUGUAAUUGUAAUUUCACUUAAGGUGAACAUCAUGCUCUUAAGGGUUGCAUGGUUUUUAAAAGGGUUUCACAUAACGUAAUGAGUCUUGCAUGUUUAUAUUUGAUCUGAACAUCAUAAAUGGAUGGCAUGUUAGAUAUACGUUUUUGCUUGAACAUCACAAGGAAAAUACAUAUUAGGAAAACCUAACCUUCAAAGUGACAUGUAUAGAUCAUAAGUAAUUGGUAAAAAUACAUAGGAUUGCUAGGUGAUGGUGGAACCCUAGUGUUUUUCUAAAUUGGUAUUUAAAACUCUUUUCUUUUUAUCAUAUUAGUUUUGAGCAAAUUUAUUAUUUGUUUUUAAUUAAAAUUCGUUUUUAAUAUUACCCAAUUUCAAAAUCUCUUUUCUUCAUUUUUUUUUUAAUUCUAAGUAUUUAAUUAGGAAUUGUUUCUACAUAAAUUGUUAAAAUUGUCCUUGAGGAGAACGACCUUGAAUGAGUAUCUAUAGUGGCGG